rnacentral:tRNA from 3 species
AGGGGCAUGGUGUCAAUGGUAGCACAUCGGUCUCCAAAACCGAGAGUCUAGGUUCAAAUCCUAGUGCCCCUGCCA